rnacentral:rRNA from 1 species
GGUGGGGGCGUGCUUACCAUGCAAGUCGAACGAUGAAGCUGGGGCUUGCUCUGGUGGAUUAGUGGCGAACGGGUGAGUAACACGUGAGCAACCUGCCCUGGACUCUGGGAUAAGCGCUGGAAACGGCGUCUAAUACUGGAUACGAGACGUGGCCGCAUGGUCAACGUUUGGAAAGAUUUUUCGGUCUGGGAUGGGCUCGCGGCCUAUCAGCUUGUUGGUGAGGUAAUGGCUCACCAAGGCGUCGACGGGUAGCCGGCCUGAGAGGGUGACCGGCCACACUGGGACUGAGACACGGCCCAGACUCCUACGGGAGGCAGCAGUGGGGAAUAUUGCACAAUGGGCGGAAGCCUGAUGCAGCAACGCCGCGUGAGGGAUGACGGCCUUCGGGUUGUAAACCUCUUUUAGCAGGGAAGAAGCGUGAGUGACGGUACCUGCAGAAAAAGCGCCGGCUAACUACGUGCCAGCAGCCGCGGUAAUACGUAGGGCGCAAGCGUUAUCCGGAAUUAUUGGGCGUAAAGAGCUCGUAGGCGGUUUGUCGCGUCUGCUGUGAAAUCCCGAGGCUCAACCUCGGGCCUGCAGUGGGUACGGGCAGACUAGAGUGCGGUAGGGGAGAUUGGAAUUCCUGGUGUAGCGGUGGAAUGCGCAGAUAUCAGGAGGAACACCGAUGGCGAAGGCAGAUCUCUGGGCCGUAACUGACGCUGAGGAGCGAAAGGGUGGGGAGCAAACAGGCUUAGAUACCCUGGUAGUCCACCCCGUAAACGUUGGGAACUAGUUGUGGGGUCCUUUCCACGGAUUCCGUGACGCAGCUAACGCAUUAAGUUCCCCGCCUGGGGAGUACGGCCGCAAGGCUAAAACUCAAAGGAAUUGACGGGGACCCGCACAAGCGGCGGAGCAUGCGGAUUAAUUCGAUGCAACGCGAAGAACCUUACCAAGGCUUGACAUACACGAGAACGGGUCAGAAAUGGUCAACUCUUUGGACACUCGUGAACAGGUGGGUGCA